CUCUACGGGGAGCAGCAGUAGGGAAUAUUCGGCCAAGGGGGAAAAUCUGUGAUGAGACACACAGCCGCGUGAGUGAAGAAGGUUUUUCGAUCUGGUAAACUCUGUUGGUAGAGAAGGAAGUUCGUGAGAGUGGAAAGCUCAUCAAGUGACGUAACUACCGAGU
rnacentral:rRNA from 1 species